rnacentral:rRNA from 2 species
CUUACGGCCUGGGCUACACACGUGCUACAAUGGUCGGUACAAAGGGUUGCCAAGCCGCGAGGUGGAGCUAAUCCCGUAAAACCGAUCGUAGUCCGGAUCGCAGUCUGCAACUCGACUGCGUGAAGUCGGAAUCGCUAGUAAUCGUGAAUCAGAAUGUCACGGUGAAUACGUUCCCGGGCCUUGUACACACCGCCCGUCACACCAUGGGAGUGGGUUGCUCCAGAAGUAGCUAGUCUAACCUUCGGGGGGACGGUUACCACGGAGUGAUUCAUGACUGGGGUGAAGUCGUAACAAGGUAGCCGUAGGGGAACCUGCGGUUGGAUCACCUCCUU